UACGAAGGGGGCUAGCGUUGCUCGGAAUCACUGGGCGUAAAGGGUGCGUAGGCGGGUUUUUAAGUCAGGGGUGAAAUCCUGGAGCUCAACUCCAGAACUGCCUUUGAUACUGAAGAUCUUGAGUCCGGGAGAGGUGAGUGGAACUGCGAGUGUAGAGGUGAAAUUCGUAGAUAUUCGCAAGAACACCAGUGGCGAAGGCGGCAUCCUGGACCGGUAUUGACACUGAGGCGCGAAAGCCAGGGGAGCAAACGGG
rnacentral:rRNA from 1 species